rnacentral:rRNA from 1 species
UUNUUAGAGGGACUAUCGGUGUUUAACCGAUGGAAGUUUGAGGCAAURACAGGUCUGUGAUGCCCUUAGAUGUUCUGGGGCCGCACGCGCGGCUACACUGAUGAAGUCAACGAGUUAAUNUCCUUCAUCGGAAGAUGUGGGUAAUCUUUUGAARCUUCACCGUGCUGGGGAUAGAGCANUGCAAUUAUUGCUCUUGAACGAGGAAUCCCUAGUAAGCACAAGUCAUUAGCYUGUGCUGAUUACGUCCCUGCCCUUUGUACACACCGCCCGUCGCUACURCCGAUUGAAUGGCUUANUGAGGC